rnacentral:sRNA from 2 species
ACAAGUGUUUUAGCGCUAUACGGGAUUGGAAGCCGGUGCGAAUCCGGCACGGUCGCGCCACUGUGAUCGGCACCAGCCGAAAGUCAGGCCUUAUUCCGCAGCAUUGUUCGAUCAACGGGACGCAGUAUCCCACGGGAGGUCAAU